UAGGAUCACGUUGGUGUUUUGGAUCAUGAGAUGCAAGUUGGUGAUUUGGAGCAUCAGAUUGUUUUUCGGAGCAAGCAGCAAGGACUUGACAUAAACUCCCUCACCUACUGUCGCAUCGCCUCUGGCUUCUUCGUUGUCCAGCAUGAUGCAGCUGUGGCUCGCUUCGGCCCUGGCCCAUCUAAUUGCCGAGUCGUCGUCGCCAUGGUAACAAACAUCAUGGAGGUACCAUCAUUCAUGAUUUUUUCCACUGAAUAUCUAGUGGCGCACUGCCUGCCAUCAUAGCCUACUCGAGCUUCCCUGCAGUCCUGGACGAAAAAGCCAUGCUGCUGUUUCGGAGGUUGCCUGUGGGUAAAAUUUUCUUCAGGGUGCCCAUUGCCCUGCAGCUCAUGAUUGACGCCUUCAGGUUCUGCUCGUGGUCGCCUGCACCAUAUGAUCCGGCGUCCACCUGCAGCAUUGCUGCCAGUGUGUUCCGGCGAUCAUGUCCCUGAGCAAUUGCUAGGGUAACUGAAAAAGGUAAUUAUUGAGGCUUUCAUGCAAUUGUUGUGGGUGGUUGCCUGCCCAAGCUGUUGCUGGCGUCCAGCUGGGGCUACUGAUGGCAUCUUUUUAUAACACCUCAGUGAUCUUUGCUGCCUGCCUCAUCCCCAAGCUGCUACUACUAGCCACCACUCCGACCUGCUACUACUGUCGGUCCUUCUGGGAUGUUAUAGAAGCAGCUGCCACUCACCACUAAACAUUCCUUGUGCCGACUUUACAUCUGAGGUGAACACAUUGUCUCAACGCCAAGAGCAUGCUUGUACUCCGCCGAGAGAUUCCUACAGUACUCUUAUGCUCCCAUCUUGUAAAUUCUCGAUUUAGGGUGGUCGGCUCGGCUAGCCCCAUGCUUCAACUACCUCCUCGGCUCCCUCUGCCGUGCAACGGAGACAAAUUCAACGAGCCUGAACCACGCUGGUGAUGGCAUUCAGCAUCGGCUAUAACACUCUGAUUACCGGAUCAAGGCCUCUUAAUGUCGUCAAGGCUCUCUUCAUUGUCUACCAGUCAGAGUUAUUUUUGCUUUCUAAUUUGUUUAGGAGUCGGAUGGUAUGAGUAGUCAUUGGAGUAGGAAUAUCUGCACAUGGAAACCAUACAUGGACAGAUUAGUGACAUGCAGUAUACUACUAAUGGUCUUGAUAGCUGAAGGCAGCAACGUUAUCCACAUUAUUAGCUUAAGCAUUAUAGGGGUAACGAAACCACGAAAGGAAAACCAUUGCAAAUUGCUAUUGGCUGAAACGUGAUUAACAUAUACUACUAUAUUACUCCAUCCGUCCCCCGGGU